CAGAGCUUUCCUGGCUGCAGUUCUCUCUCCAGCGUCAAGUUAGACUCAGGGGCUGCUAGAAGCUGGGGGAGAGCAGCUGCUCCUGCGGCACUGGAGGACUGCGGUGGCCUGUGCUUCUUUGCACAAGCACCACAUGCACGUGGGACAGAGGUCCUGCCGAGGUUGGGAGCAGAUUGCUGCGAAGCCUGUAUCACGGCUGCUGGAACUGAACCGCUUUCACGGGUAAAUAUCAAGUUCAAAUCGCCAGAGCUAUCACUUCAACAUCAUUCAGCAGCAUGAAAGCAGCUCUGAAGAAAGCCGAUACCCAUUAACUUUGCUGGGAAAGGCCAAGUCAGGAAAAAGGGAAAGGUUGAUUACAGGA